rnacentral:rRNA from 1 species
GGAAACUGAAAGGACGACCUUCGGGAGCUUGCACAGGUGCUGCAUGGCUGUCGUCAGCUCGUGUCGUGAGAUGUUCGGUUAAGUCCGCUAACGAGCGCAACCCUUCACUGUGUGUUAUAUGUGUCACACGGGACUGCCGGUUUUAAGCCGGAGGAAGGUGGGAUGACGUCAAGUCAGCAUGGCCUUUAUAUCCUGGGCUACACACACGCUACAAUGGUCGGUACAAUAGGUUGCCAAGCCGCGAGGCGGAGCCAAUCCAAAAAAGCCGGCCUCAGUUCAGAUUGUAGGCUGCAACUCGCCUGCAUGAAGAUGGAGUUGCUAGUAACCGCAGGUCAGCAAUACUGCGGUGAAUACGUUCCCGGGCCUU